CAAGACAAACACUAAACAGCCUCUGCCCUGAAAGGACUUAAGACCUAUUUGGAUGGGGAAAAAAAGAGGAUGCUCAGUUUGGUUUCAUCUGCUACUGAGAGAGAAGACGUUCACAUAUCUUUUGUAAAAUAGCCUUACAGAAAAAGGAGGGAGACAGAACAGAGAGAUAAAGAGAGCUCUUGAUUGCAGAUGGGACCUUAAAUCAGCAAGAAGGUCUGCUUGGCCUCUUCACUUAAUGGAUAAUAGAAAUCAUCUAUUCCAUUUUCAGUCU
rnacentral:lncRNA from 1 species